rnacentral:rRNA from 1 species
GGGUAGGGGAGCGUUCUGUAAGCCUGUGAAGGUGGCCUGUGAGGGUUGCUGGAGGUAUCAGAAGUGCGAAUGCUGACAUAAGUAACGAUAAAGCGGGUGAAAAGCCCGCUCGCCGGAAGACCAAGGGUUCCUGUCCAACGUUAAUCGGGGCAGGGUGAGUCGACCCCUAAGGCGAGGCCGAAAGGCGUAGUCGAUGGGAAACGGGUUAAUAUUCCCGUACUUGGUGUUACUGCGAAGGGGGGACGGAGAAGGCUAUGUUGGCCGGGCGACGGUUGUCCCGGUUUAAGCGUGUAGGUGUGUGUUCCAGGUAAAUCCGGUUCACUUUAACACUGAGGCGUGAUGACGAGGCACUACGGUGCUGAAGCAACAAAUGCCCUGCUUCCAGGAAAAGCCUCUAAGCAUCAGGUAACAUCAAAUCGUACCCCAAACCGACACAGGUGGUCAGGUAGAGAAUACCAAGGCGCUUGAGAGAACUCGGGUGAAGGAACUAGGCAAAAUGGUGCCGUAACUUCGGGAGAAGGCACGCUGACACGUAGGUGAAGUGAUUUACUCAUGGAGCUGAAGUCAGUCGAAGAUACCAGCUGGCUGCAACUGUUUAUUAAAAACACAGCACUGUGCAAACACGAAAGUGGACGUAUACGGUGUGACGCCUGCCCGGUGCCGGAAGGUUAAUUGAUGGGGUCAGCGCAAGCGAAGCUCCUGAUCGAAGCCCCGGUAAACGGCGGCCGUAACUAUAACGGUCCUAAGGUAGCGAAAUUCCUUGUCGGGUAAGUUCCGACCUGCACGAAUGGCGUAAUGAUGGCCAGGCUGUCUCCACCCGAGACUCAGUGAAAUUGAACUCGCUGUGAAGAUGCAGUGUACCCGCGGCAAGACGGAAAGACCCCGUGAACCUUUACUAUAGCUUGACACUGAACAUUGAGCCUUGAUGUGUAGGAUAGGUGGGAGGCUUUGAAGUGUGGACGCCAGUCUGCAUGGAGCCGACCUUGAAAUACCACCCUUUAAUGUUUGAUGUUCUAACGUGGACCCGUAAUCCGGGUUGCGGACAGUGUCUGGUGGGUAGUUUGACUGGGGCGGUCUCCUCCUAAAGAGUAACGGAGGAGCACGAAGGUUGGCUAAUCCUGGUCGGACAUCAGGAGGUUAGUGCAAUGGCAUAAGCCAGCUUGACUGCGAGCGUGACGGCGCGAGCAGGUGCGAAAGCAGGUCAUAGUGAUCCGGUGGUUCUGAAUGGAAGGGCCAUCGCUCAACGGAUAAAAGGUACUCCGGGGAUAACAGGCUGAUACCGCCCAAGAGUUCAUAUCGACGGCGGUGUUUGGCACCUCGAUGUCGGCUCAUCACAUCCUGGGGCUGAAGUAGGUCCCAAGGGUAUGGCUGUUCGCCAUUUAAAGUGGUACGCGAGCUGGGUUUAGAACGUCGUGAGACAGUUCGGUCCCUAUCUGCCGUGGGCGCUGGAGAACUGAGGGGGGCUGCUCCUAGUACGAGAGGACCGGAGUGGACGCAUCACUGGUGUUCGGGUUGUCAUGCCAAUGGCACUGCCCGGUAGCUAAAUGCGGAAGAGAUAAGUGCUGAAAGCAUCUAAGCACGAAACUUGCCCCGAGAUGAGUUCUCCCUGAGACUUAGAGUCUCCUGAAGGAACGUUGAAGACGACGACGUUGAUAGGCCGGGUGUGUAAGCGCAGCGAUGCGUUGAGCUAACCGGUACUAAUGAACCGUGAGGCUUAACCUU